UUGAACGCUGGCGGCAUGCUUUACACAUGCAAGUCGAACGGUAACAGGUCUUCGGAUGCUGACGAGUGGCGAACGGGUGAGUAAUGCAUCGGAACGUGCCCAGUCGUGGGGGAUAACGCAGCGAAAGCUGUGCUAAUACCGCAUACGAUCUAUGGAUGAAAGCGGGGGAUCGCAAGACCUCGCGCGAUUGGAGCGGCCGAUGUCAGAUUAGCUAGUUGGUGGGGUAAAGGCCCACCAAGGCGACGAUCAGUAGCUGGUCUGAGAGGAUGAUCAGCCACACUGGAACUGAGACACGGUCCAGACUCCUACGGGAGGCAGCAGUGGGGAAUUUUGGACAAUGGGGGAAACCCUGAUCCAGCCAUUCCGCGUGAGUGAAGAAGGCCUUCGGGUUGUAAAGCUCUUUCAGGAGGGAAGAAACGGUUGCGGCUAAUACCCGCGACUAAUGACGGUACCUUCAGAAGAAGCACCGGCUAACUACGU
rnacentral:rRNA from 1 species